CCGCAGUAACAAAAGGCCCCAAAGUCGCGGUGGACUCGGCUCAAAAUUGUUUAUUUCCAGCUGGUGCUCCCUGUCAGCGGCACUGGUGUAGCUUGGCUGUGUUCAUUCCAGAAGUUAGUGUUAGUCGCUCAGUCGUACCCGACUCUUUGCGACCCCAUGGACUGCAGCCCUCUGUCCAUGAGAUUUUCCAGGCAAGGAUACUGGAGUGGGUUGCCACUUCCUUCUCCAGGGGAUCUUCCCAACCCAGGAAUCGAACCCAGGUCUCCUGCACUGCAGGCAGAUUCCUUACCAACUGAGCUACAAGGGAAGCCCAGAACCCAGCGUGAAAAAGCAGCCGUAAUCGCGCAAGUGCAGGUCUCAGACUGGGGACUGGAAGACGAGGGUGGUGGCCUGCAUACCAGCUUUCUUCCUGAAAGUCGGCUCCGGUUACUUUACAAGCUCAACAUGAAGGACGAAAGCCAAUUGGGAAUAACGGAAUCUACCACCCUUCCAGGAUCCACAACCCAAUCAAGCAAGGGCCCAUCAGGAAAACGGAAGGCUACCACAGGGGUCUUGGGUCACAGCGAAAUCAAGGGCUUGCACAAGUGAGGUGGGGGCUGCCAGGACCUCAGCCUCAGCACUGAGGUAGACAGUCUGCAGCUCGCGGGGGUCCGCGGCUGCCCCCAGCACUCUCGGCCGCCUCUCGUCCGGGAAGCCGGCGCUUCUCGAGGACUCCCCGGAGAGCAGCCCUCAAGUCCACGGCCACAUUUCCGGCCGUCUCCGAGGUCCUCCGCGGCCAACUCGAGCGUUCUGGGAAACGCGGCUCCCAGCACUUAACGGGCCUGACGCUGCUAUCCGCACCAACCUCCUAGGAUGAGGUCGGAACCCCCACGAGUGUGCCUGGGGACGAGCCGUCGGAGGCCACGAAGCCCUGAAGGCAGGACCCCUAGACAGGAAGGCAGUGUUUGCGCCCAUAAGACGACAGCCGCCACCCUGACGGAGCGCUUCCGGGGGCCGAGCCGCUGGCCCUCAAGACUCCCGCCGUCGACGAGUGGGCAACAGGCAGGCCCCAAGGCUGCAGCCCCGUGCUUUCGCUGGAAGCGCGGACGCCCGCGCCAGAGGCGGCGGCCUGCG
ensembl:lncRNA